rnacentral:rRNA from 1 species
AAACUUUCAACAACGGAGCUCUUGGUUCUGGCAUCGAUGAAGAACGCAGCGAAAUGCGAUAAGUAAUGUGAAUUGCAGAAUUCAGUGAUAUCAUCGAAUCUUUGAACGCACAUGGGCCCCCCAGCAUUCUGGCGGGCAUGCCUGUUCGAGCGUCAUUU